GGGUGAUAGCUCAGUGAGUAAGAGCGCUUGCUAUGCAAGCAUGAGGACCUGAGUUCAAAUCCCCAGCACCCA
rnacentral:tRNA from 1 species